rnacentral:miRNA from 1 species
CCAGUGACCGAACAUAUUCACA